UGUAACUAAAGACAUCCAGUAAAUGGACUUUGGCAACUUUAAUAUUCCCAUUUUUACUGAAGAAUUUCUUGAUCACAAUAAAAGAAGAGAUGCAGAAUUAAGCUCAGAAAAAUCAAUACAGAUUACGAGCACAGAAUGCCACUCUGACUAAACACAUUGAAAACGGCCAUAACUAAGCUGGAAACGGAGAUUUCACAACAGGAAAAGAAUAUUGCAACAGCAUCUAGAGCAUCUUAGGGCUACUCUGGCCACGGGAUUCGGUGGUGUUAAGUUACCAGGAAUCAGAGAAACUGCUUCUUUGCAAAAUAUUGACAAUGACGAACUUACACUCGAUGUUACUGGAAAACAGCAGUCACAAUACGAAUUUGUUACAAACGGUCCGUGGCAGAGUUGGAGUUUAAUGGAUGACCGACAGUGAGGGCUUCGAAAAGGAAAAGAAAAGCAAACAAGUUUUUUUAAUCGAACUGGCACUAAUUUAUUUUAUCGAUUUUGACUAUCGGGAUGAGUGUGUUAAUUUUACUUAGGUUUUAAGUAAUUGCAUUAUUUUAAUUCUUGCUGGAAUUUAUAUAAUAAAUUGCUGGUUUUUUAUAAUUGUAUACAUAUAUUGAUAAAUUAGAUGGCUAAUCUAAGAUUGUAUUAGGUAUCUUGGACUAAUA